UGUCUUAUAAUAAUGGGACCAUUGUUCAUCAUAUUACGUAUUUUGUCUUAUCGUGGAACCAUAUUUUUUUUACCAGUUAACCCCGCCUUCCAGUAUUACAACAGUCCUCUGAACUCCGCCCACGUGAGAGCAUCGUUGUACUCUGUGUGUAACUGAUUUUCCUCCUUUUGAUCAUAAGUAAACUUUUAAAAGACUUCUGGAGCGAGAACCUUUUUCUUCUACAAACAAAGGGAAAACGGAUUUUCUCCCCUGAUACUUCAUCCUUCAAAGCUAGCUGACUGAACACUGAGGUCCUGCGCUGUGAACUUGGAGAAGCAAAAGUUGAACAGCAUGCAAAUGGCGAUGAUGGCGCGGCGCCUCCUGUGGCCUUUUGUCCUAAUGGGAGGUUUGAGCUGCGUGGCUCUGGAAAUCCACCCGGAGGAGUCCCACUACUACGCCGCCGAGGGCUCCAAUGUCACAAUGCCUUGCCAGUACAAUGACACCCUGAACAGCACAGAGUACAUCAGAUGGAGUUUCACCCGCUUUGAUGCCUACCCACCGCUCAUCAUUCUGCUCAGUGACGGCCGGUUGCACUUCGAUCUUGACACACCGAUGAAGGGCAGGGUCCGUUUCGCGGCACGCGAUCCCCAAAAUGGAGACGCUUCUCUCACCAUUAGCAACGUCAGUCGCUCAGACGAAAUGACUUACAUUUGCAUUGUGAAGAAGUUACCUGAAAUGAAGAAGAUAAUGACCCUGAGGGUCAUGGAGCCACCAAGUCAACCGAUUUGCAACUUGCAAGGGGAAUUCGCCCAAGGCAAUAACGUGACGCUCACAUGCUUGUCUAUCCAUGGUGAAUCUCCUCUGACGUACACCUGGGCCAAGAUCAGCGGAAACCAGGUUCUCCCCGCCGAUGCCGUGGUGGACUCCAUCAGAGGCACCCUGCGUGUAGAUAAAAUCACCGAGGGGGACUGUGGAAGCUAUUGCUGCACAGUAGAGAGCUUGGUCGGAAGCAAAAGCUGUGAGCUCGUCCUCCCCUGCCCGGACGUGCCAGAAGCCCAUAUGUCCUCUGCGCUGCUGAUUACCAUCUCCAUCACGGUGGUCCUCGUCAUCCUUGCUGUUUCCAUCAUUACCACUGGCUGCUUGUGGUGGUUCAGAAAGAAGACAGGGCAGUAUAACUUCAGUGAUGUGCCACCUCCUUCCCGAUGGAUUCCAAAAAUAAAAGAGAUUUUGCCGUCUUUGCACUACGAGGCCAAAGACCAGACCGUCACCAUGUCCGCUUGAUCACAGCGCCAUUUCACUUGCUUCAAGACUAAAGAUCGAUGAGUGGCAUCACAACUCCUCGCACCCUGAAGGCGAUGCAUCCACGCUGUGACACUAAACAGGACAACACGCAGGAUUCAAGACACAGCAUCUCGGCGGACUGCAAAUUUUGAUGGUAAGUGCUUUAUUCAAGUCCUUAUCGCGUUUUGUCACUUCUUGACUGUUAUACAAGUUAUUCAAUCAAGGAUUAACAAAAUAGCCAGUGUAUUUGUUAUCUGCCAUGUCUCCACGUCAUUCCAAUGUUGUUGCAGGACAACAUAUGGAGGGAGAAAGCAUUUACUCAGUAUUGCUGUAAAUGUUUCAAUGUUGGAAUACCCUUAGGGCCCCUGCCCCCUGAGCCAAGCUCUUCCUCCUUGUGUUUGUGUACACUGCUGGCCAAAAGUAUUGGCACACGUGCAAUUCUGUCAGAUAAUGCACAAUUUUUCCCAGAAAAUGAUGGCAAUUACAAAUGCUUUGGUAGUAAUUUCUUCAUUUAUUUUGCUUGCGAUGAAAAACCCCAGAAGAGAGAAGAAAAAAAAAAAACUCCAAAUAUGGGCUGGACAAAAGUAUUGGCACCCUCAGCCUCAUACUUAAUAGCACAACCUUUGGACAAAAUAACGGUGAACAACCAUUUUCCAUUUUCCAUCCAUUUUCUUACAAUGCUCUGCUGGAAUUUUAGACAAUUCUUCUUUAGCCAACUUCUCCAGGUCUCUGAUAUUUGAAGGGUGCCUUCUCCAAACUGCCAUUUUCAGAUCUAUCCUCAGGUGUUCUAUAAGAUUCAGGUUUGGACUCAUUGCUGCUCAUUUUAGAAGUCUCCAGUGCUUUCUCUCAAAUCACUUUCUAAUGCUUUUUGAAGUGUGUUUUGGAUCAUUGUCCUGCUGGAAGACCAAUGACAUCUGAGGAAGACCCAACUUUCUCACAGUGAGCCCUACAUCAUGCUGAAAAAUCUCUUGGUAGUCUUCAGACUUCAUACUGCCAUGCACACGGUCAAGCAGUCCAGUGUCAGAGGCAGCAAGGCAACCCCAAAACAUCAGGGAACUUCAACCAUGUUUGAUUGUGGGGACAGUGUUCUUUUCUGGGAAGGCCUCGUUUAUUUCCUGUAAACUGUAUGUUGAUGCCUUCUCCCAAAAGCUCUACUUUUGUCUCAUCUGACCAAAGAACAUUCUUCCAAAACUGUUCCAGCUUUCUCAGGGAAGUUUUGGCAAACUCCAGUCUCGAUUUUUUUAUGUCUGCGACAGAAGUGGGGUCUUCAUGGGAAUCACUACGCUAGAGUCCCUCUUCAUUCAGACGCCGACGGAUUGUACGGGUUGACACUGUCAGGACAGCUUGAACUUGUUUGGAUGUUAGUCGAGGUUCUUUAUCCACCAUUGGCAAAAUCUUUCGUUGAAAUCUCUCAUCAUUUUUUCUUUUCCACAGUGCCGUUGGGUUUAAACUUAUUGAUGACACUGUGCACAGUAGACACAGGAACAUUCAGGUCUUUGGAGAAGGACUUGUAGCCUUGAGAUUGCCCAUGCUUCCUCACAAUUUUGCUUCUCAAGUCCUCAGACAGUUCUUUGGUCUUCUUUCUUUUCGCCAUGCUCAGUGUGGUACACACAAGGACACAGGACAGAGGCUGAGUCAACUUUAAUCCAAUUUAAAUGGCUGUAAGUGUUAUUUAGUUAUUGCCACCACGAGUUAUGUGCCACAGGUAAGUACCAGGUGCUGUUAAUUACCCAAAUUAGAGAAGCAUCACAUGAUUUUUCAAAGGAUUCCAAUACUUUUGUUUGGUCCAUUUUUGGAGUUUUGUGUAAAAUUAUCAUGAUUUAUUUUCCCCCCCAUUCUCUUUUGUGUUUUGUCAUUGCAAGCAAAGUAAAUGCAGAUAUUAAUACCAAAGCAUUUGUAAUUGCGAUCAUCUUCUGGGAGAAAUUCAGCAUUAUCUGACAGAAUUGCAGGGCUGCCAAUAUUUUUGGCCAGCAGUGUAUGUGUGUCACUGCCUUGAUUGCAGGAUUGUAUAGAUUCAGGGACCCUGGGACCAAGUGCAGGUGAUCUUCAGCAGCUUACGUAAAUCGGUCCUUGGCCUCAAAUCAUCGCCAGAUCAACAACUCAACUACACAAGUUGAUCCUGUACUGCUUGCCUGUCCGUUCACCUGUUCUGUCACCAAAUUGCCCACCGGAUUCUUCAGACGCUAUCUGCCACUCCCUCUCAUCGUCAAUCAACUCUUGUCACCACUGCCAGUUUGCCCCAGUUUGCCUCGUAACUCCAGAACCUUAAAGUGGAAGUUCAGAAUUUUUGACAGUAGACUUAAUCUUCGAGGAAGCGUUUAAUGGGUUUAAUUAGUUGUUGGAGUUGAUUUCAACAAGUUACGUGCAGUUUGUAAGUUAUUUGUUAGUUUCAGGGCUCCGGAGUGGCUAAGCAUAGCGCGAGUCAAUGGUCCUUUCCUAGCACACCAAUAAAAAAACGAUACAGAUUUACGAACAGGUCCAACUUAGCGAAAUAAAUUCAAAAUGCUUGAAAAUUGUUCCAAAACACCCAUGCGGCCAAAACAAUUGUCACAACAAACUGCCGUAAUUCAUUUCAUUCUUCAGGACUUUUUUUUUUUUAAUGCUUGAUAUGACCCCAAUAAAACUGAAAAUAUAAGUGAAAAAAAAAACGAUGUGAUAUCACUCUGCUCUGCUCCUCUGCAGAGCUGCUGGUUUAAAAAUGUUGCUGUUCACAGUGCAAUUAUUGGUAUGUAAAGGUAAGUUUUAAUAACUUUAUCCGGAAAACAUACCCAACACUAUUGAUUGAAUGGGUCAUUGAUGAUUUUCAUGUGUGCACAUGUUGUUUUUUAAUGGCUUGCUAAGUUAGCCCAAUUGAAUCGCACUAGCUUAGCCAUUCCAGAGCACUGAAACUAACAAAUAACUAACAAACUACACAGAAUUGGUUGAAAUCAACUCCACCGACUCGUUAAACUCUAGCUAACUCUAACUGAUGUCAAAAAUUCUGAACUUCCCCUUUAACAAAUACAGUCUGUUGUUUACAGUCUCAAAAUGGGUCACCUUUAAUGUGGAGAUUCUUGUUCCAAUUUGUGAAAAAAAUAAUGUAAUGUUAUGGUACAUUAACAUGUUAGCAUUAAUAAACAGCAUGAAAAAAGUGUU